AGUGAACUGGUUCAAUUUGUUUCUCUCGUAUGUCUGCUCUCCUCAGGCCAGUGGAAACCAGUCCUGACAGAGGGGCGUUUUGGAAACACAAUGGAGAGCUGAACUCUUCCAGUGCUUUCCCUGUUCAUCACUCAAAGGAUGACAAAAUGCAGCAGCAGUUGCCCAGACACAAGUGGCAACUCAAGUCCCCCUAUGAGCAGGAGAGACUCAGCACAGAGCAGGAACCUGAGGAGCCAUACACAGGCUGGGGGGAGCAGGAGCAAAGGCAGGGCAAAAGGAACAGAAGAUGAACCUGAUCAAAGGACUUCCUAUUGUGAGAAAUACCAGACUCCAGAACUGCUUUCCAAGGUAGGUAGAAAUGGAAAGCACUGGUACACAACCACUUAAGAGCAAAAAAGUCAGUCAACUGCAGAGAAAACUGGUCACAACCAGUACAGAGGGAAGAAAAUCGUGCUUUUCACUUCUCACUCUUUGUCUACACUGAAUGUGAAUCUUGCAAAAUAAGCCCAGCUAGGACAAAGUGGGAUUUUGAGGCAACACCACAAAAAAUCACUUCCUUUUGCAGCAAACAGUGCUAGAGGACAACAAACCAUCCUCAGUGUAGUUUUGAGACCUUUCACUACUAGGUGCUGCUUUUUCAGAGAUGGAAGGGAAAAAAUAUUUCAUGUUUCCUUCCAUUUUUAUCUUAGCUUACACAUUGUUAAGCAUCUGUUGCGUUUCACCUUGAAGAGUUACAAUUGAAGAACUAAAGCUUCUUCAUAACACAGAUCCAAGACAAUGAUUAAUAACAAUUAUCAGCAGUGAUUAGCUAAUACAACCAGAAUACAACAAUCCCACUGCCUGCCAGUCAUUUGCAGGCAUCAGCACUGACGCAUGGCAGCUGUUCUUAUUAAAUCCUGCCUCAGUCCUGAGGCCAGAAGGAGAAUCCUCUUUGCAGCAGCACCCUCAGCCGAAUGCGAUGCAGGCUGCAGCUUCCCAUGCUGGAAAGGGACAGGAAAAAGUGAGUUUAGAAAUACUGAACUCAACACAGAAAUCUUUAUAACCCUGUUAGAGAGAGAGAAGCUGAUCCUUGCAAAAGGGUUCCCUAAGGAAAGGAACUUGUAAAGUGAAACAACAGACCGAUUUUCCAGUUACAGGACGGGAAACUAGUUCAGGAAAGAACCCCCUGAAAGGGGUAGUAGGAAGGCACUUCCCACCAGAUGAAGUGGACGUUUGCAAAAACUACUAAAUCUUUGUCUCCAUGUACACAAAGGAGGCUGAGAGACAGAUGUCACAUACAUACCUAGACUUCCCAGGAGAAUAAUGGAAGAGAAAUUAGGACAGAACAGAUGUUCCAGGAAUUAAAAUUUUGAAGGGUAACCCAAACACCCAAGGAGCUGUUGCUGCUCAGGUGAGCUCCAGCUGCCUCAAGGUAUGCCUAUAUCACACGGUACAGAAGCUUACAGCUGUGCCCUAUGCACCUCAGAAAAGCCCGCUAGGUUGGGGUCAUUCAAGUAUCUCUUCGGAGCACUGCGCCCUGAGCCCAAAGGGCAAGAGAAGGCUAAUGUUCUGCCAGGCCAUUUUAAGCCAUCUUCAGGAAGCAGAUAAGAAGGUGCAUCUCUGCAGAUCAUUUGAUGACAGAUACGUACAGACAUGUGCAUCCACUGCAGAGUGAAUCCAUCACUCAGCCUGAGAUCUGGGUCAGGUUUUCUGGCUCAACCUGAAACUCAACUGAUGACCACUCAAAAAAAAAAAAAAAAAAAAAAGGAAAGAAAGAGGGACGAGAAUGGGGGUGGGGAGCAAGAGGUGGUUGUUUUCACACAUUUUUGCUUCCUGUCCUUUCUAAAUGUCACACAUUUGUCUCGUGUUACUUGGAAGUCCCUUCUUUGCAGCCAGCAAGAGAACACACAUUCAGCAAGGGAACUGAGAAACCAUUCAAGGGCAGGGAUUUUUUGUCCAAGUUUCAGGCUUAAACCCAUUUCACGUAUGGCCUGUAAUGUUAAAGACAUGACAACUCCCUCCAAAACCCACACAAUUUAGAAUUUAUUUAUUUUUUUCUUUUUAGCAACCUUGAAAUCUUACAGCAUACCAGGUGACAAACAACUGGUCUAAGCUCCCUGCCAUAUCUGGCUGUUGCAAGUUAAGAUGACGAUGUGGGUAUAACUUUAUCUUUGAAUUUCUUUCUGAUCAAUGUCAAUUCAAGACAAGCUCUGAUGUUGUUUUCUUCUCCACUGAAUAGACCAGGUGCUACAGAAGCACUUGGUGUAGCCUAACACAGCGCAAAACAAGUGUCGUAUUGAAUUAGCAAUUCUCUACUACACUUCUCUUCCU